UGUAAAUGAUGUUCCAAUAGAUCCUUCUGACCCACCCAUUACUUUGUACUCAAGGAGUGGGUCUGAGGAAACAUCUAAACUGAUACA
rnacentral:snoRNA from 1 species